CUCAGCCGCGUCUGCCCGCGGCCAGGAGCGGCCGGUCCGUGCGGCGAGGAAGGAUUCCUCCCGGCCGGCCCCGACGGGGCGCAGCACCGGCGCCGGGAGCUCGGCGCCCCCGAGCCGCCGGGUGGCCGGGAAGCCUCGCGGGGGAGGCGCUCGGAGGCGCGUGCCGCCCGCCCCCGCGUGGGUGAGGGUCGGGCAGCCGGCGCUGCGGAGGUGGGAAGGGGCGGAGGCGGAGAGACGAGCCCCGGGGCUGCGAAAGCCUCGGGCCGGGGCCGGUACCGGGAGCUGCGGCGGGUCGCGCGUCCCCCCGGGCCGGUCCCGGCCGCGCUUCUCCAGCUGCCCGCCUGCUCCCGCCUCCGGCUGCCUUUCGGGCUGGCCGGGUCCCCGCAGCUUUUUGCUGUUCUGCCGACACCGCCCCGUCCCCCGUCGCCUUCUCCACGUCCUUUCCACGCCUCUCCCUUGCUGGCUCCCCAGCCGCCUGAAGCAUUUCAUUCUUUCCACGCUGCCGCCUUCCCUGUCGCUUGUGAAAAUCGCAUCGGAAGGUCUCCCUCUACCCGGCGACUCGUAUCUGUUCUCAUCAUCUCCCUGUCUCUCUCCCUCCCUCACUGAAAUCGGGUUUAGCGUUAACGAGCGGGCAUUGCUUUAUUUGGCCGGGGACGCAAGGGAAUCGUUCUGCCUAACAUGCUUGCUAGGGCCUUAAUCUUCAAGGACAAUGGCUCGCGAUUAGGAGUCUCCCGAUUUCCUCAUGGGGCCUCUCCACAUCUGCAUUUCCCGGGAGGCGUUUAUCACGCUCGCCUAGCUCAGGGACCUCUGUGUGACGGACAACGCGUUGCAGGUGUUUGACCAAUUGCUUAAGUUUUUACACUACCCU